ensembl:lncRNA
AUGUCUGGGCGGGGAGAUCAGAUUCCUGCCGCGGGGAGUGGGCUGAGGACUUGUGGGGUUGGCACCCUGGUGAGAAUUGGGAUGGGAAAUAGGGAAGUGUGGAACUCCGGAAGUGGGCAGGAGGUGGAAGUUAAGAACCCAGGGCUACUGUUUCCUGCCUGGGGGACCUUGACCAAUUAUUCCAAGUCUCUGAACCUCAGUUUCCUAAUCGAGAGGAAACCGCAGGCGUUGGGCACACCCAGCCUGCAAGGAGCGGCGCCCACAGACAGCAGGCUCUGCGAAGGCCCACGUGGACAGCAGGCGGCCGUCAAAGGAGGGGGCGUGCCCUGCGGAGCUCGGGGGCGUGCCCGGGAGGGCGUGACCGGAAAGCAGGGGCGGCACGGAGCGCCCUAGGCCCCGCCCACUUCCGCCUCUCAGAGCGCGGACAGCUCUGGCAGCUGAGGUUUUGGCAGUCUCUCCCGAGGCCGUUGGCCGCGCAUGCGUAGUGAGCGGCUUCGAGGACUUGAGGCGGUGGUAAGCGCUCCUCUCCCUCACAAUGUUAUUAGUAACUAUUAUUGUUAUCAUUAUUAUUUCUUAGAUUAUUGAAUAAGUGUGGGGCGUGAUUACUACUAUGUACCUGGGUCUCUAUGGAGGGUUGGUGCUUGGUGAAAAGCAAGGGACAGGGAGCCAGGUGUCUGGGGUCCUGAUGUGGAAUUAAGACCUGGAGGACUGAAAUCUUGGUCCCCACAAGGGAAAGGAACUGGAUGAUGGGAUGGCUGGGUAUCUGAGGGAGACACAGCGAGAGGGAGGGAGAGUGGUUGGUUAUCUGGGCUCCCUGAGGGGGUGAGGGAGGGGCAGUUCAGUGACUGGGUGGUACUCCUAACCCUAACCCGGAAGCUGUUGUACUAUGACAUAGGCUUUACUCAUUAUCUGUGAUUUGGGGCAGGUUAUUAAUCUCUCCAUGCCCCAGUUUCUUCAUUGGUAAAACAGGAAUAAUAAUAGUAAAUACCUCAAGGAGCAGUGCUUAGAGGAGUGCCUGGCAUAGAAAGCGCUGUUGUACAUGCACGUUAUACCAGACACUGGGACAUGGGAGAUGAGGUGUCUGGGAUUUGGAGAAGGGACAAAUGCUUGAGUCCAUUGGGUCCCAAGGCUAAGAAGUUGGGAGUACAAAAUGAAGGUCGCUGGGGUGGGUAAAAUAGUUACAUCUUUGAGAAGGACAGAGACUGGAGGUCUGAACUCAGUUCUCCAAGUAAGUUAGAAAGCCUGGGUCACUGAGGGAAAAUGAGGGACUGGAGAUCGUUAAGUUCUUCAAGGAGGCAAAGGGGCUGGACAUGAGUCCUGGGAGGAGUCUGGGAACCAAGGGCUAUAGAGAUGGAAUUUGGGCGGGGGAGGUGGAGAACAGGAAGCUAGGACUCUGAAUCAAACUCCCAGAGUGGAAUUAGCGCCAGGUUGGGGUACCCUGGAGAUGUUCUGGGCAGGGGGUCCCCCAUGCUAGGGCCCUACAGAAGGGGGAGAAUUAGGGUACCCGAGGGCGGUGGUGGAAUCUUCCCCUCCAGGGCCUCCAAAGCCACGAGCUGAGCGCCCGCGGGCCUCUUCCUCCCACAGGAAACCGCAGGCGUUGGGCACACCCAGCCUGCAAGGCAGCGCCCACAGACAGCAGGCUCUGCGAAGGCCCACGUGGACAGCAGGCGGCCGUCAAGGAGGGCGUGCCCUGCGGAGCUCGGGGGCGUGCCCGGGAGGGCGUGACCGGAAAGCAGGGGCGGCACGGAGCGCCCUAGGCCCCGCCCACUUCCGCCUCUCAGAGCGCGGACAGCUCUGGCAGCUGAGGUUUUGGCAGUCUCUCCCGAGGCCGUUGGCCGCGCAUGCGUAGUGAGCGGCUUCGAGGACUUGAGGCGGUGGUAAGCGCUCCUCUCCCUCACAACUCCCGGCA